GCUGAACUUAAGCAUAUCAAUAAGCGGAGGAAAAGAAACUAACAAGGAUUCCCCUAGUAACUGCGAGUGAAGCGGGAAGAGCUCAAAUUUAAAAUCUGGCGGUUCUGCCGUCCGAGUUGUAAUCUGGAGAAGCGUUUUCUGUGCAGGACCGUACACAAGUUCCUUGGAAUAGGACGUCAUAGAGGGUGAGAAUCCCGUCUUUGGUAUGGACUCCCUGUGCUCUGUGAUACGCUCUCAAAGAGUCGAGUUGUUUGGGAAUGCAGCUCAAAAUGGGUGGUAAAUUCCAUCUAAAGCUAAAUAUAGGCGAGAGACCGAUAGCGAACAAGUACCGUGAGGGAAAGAUGAAAACGCACUUUGGAAAGAGAGUUAAACAGUACGUGAAAUUGUUGAAAGGGAAACGCUURAASUCASUCGCGUUGUCCAGGACUACAGCCUUGGUUCUCCUAGGUGUAUUYCCUGGUUGACGGGUCAMCAUCAAUUUUGACCAGUGGACAAAGGCUUGGGGAAGGUGSCACCCUCGGGUGUGUUAUAGCCCCUUGUUGUAUGCAUUGGUUGGGAUUGAGGACCGCAGCACGCCCUUGUGGCCGGGGUUCGCCCACGUAACGUGCUUAGGAUGUUGGCAAAAUGGCUUUAAGCGACCNGUCUUGAAACACGGACCAAGGAGUCUAACAUGCCUGCGAGUGUUAGGGUGGUAAACCCUUGCGCGAAAUGAAAGUGAAAGUUGGGACCUCCUCACAGAGGGCACCGACGCCCGGCCCUGAACUCUUGUGACGGUGCUGCGGUAGAGCAUGUAUGUUGGGACCCGAAAGAUGGUGAACUAUGCCUGAAUAGGGCGAAGCCAGAGGAAACUCUGGUGGAGGCUCGUAGCGAUUCUGACGUGCAAAUCGAUCGUCAAAUUUGGGUAUAGGGGCGAAAGACUAAUCGAACCAUCUAGUAGCUG
rnacentral:rRNA from 1 species